GAUGAACGCUGGCGGCGUGCUUAACACAUGCAAGUCGAACGGAAAGGCCCCUGCUUUCAGGGGUACUCGAGUGGCGAACGGGUGAGUAACACGUGGGUGAUCUGCCCUGCACUUCGGGAUAAGCUCGGGAAACUGGGUCUAAUACCGGAUAGGACGAUGGUUUGGAUGCCGUUGUGGAAAGUUUUUCGGUGGGGGAUGAGCUCGCGGCCUAUCAGCUUGUUGGUGGGGUAAUGGCCUACCAAGGCGUCGACGGGUAGCCGGCCUGAGAGGGUGUCCGGCCACAUUGGGACUGAGAUACGGCCCAGACUCCUACGGGAGGCAGCAGUGGGGAAUAUUGCACAAUGGGCGCAAGCCUGAUGCAGCAACGCCGCGUGCGGGAUGACGGCCUUCGGGUUGUAAACCCCUUUCGCUAGGGACGAAGCGCAAGUGACGGUAACUGGUAAAGAAGCACCGGCUAACUACGUG
rnacentral:rRNA from 1 species